CCUGGCUCAGGAUGAACGCUGGCGGCGUGCUUAACACAUGCAAGUCGAACGAUGAAGCUGGAGCUUGCUCUGGUGGAUUAGUGGCGAACGGGUGAGUAACACGUGAGUAACCUGCCCYWGACUCUGGAAUAAGCGUUGGAAACGACGUCUAAUACYGGAUACGAGCUUCARYCGCAUGGYYAGGAGUUGGAAAGAAUUUCGGUCAAGGAUGGACUCGCGGCCUAUCAGGUAGUUGGUGAGGUAAUAGCUCACCAAGCCUACGACGGGUAGCCGGCCUGAGAGGGUGACCGGCCACACUGGAACUGAGACACGGUCCAGACUCCUACGGGAGGCAGCAGUGGGGAAUAUUGCACAAUGGGCGMAAGCCUGAUGCAGCAACGCCGCGUGAGGGACGACGGCCUUCGGGUUGUAAACCUCUUUUAGYAGGGAAGAAGCGAAAGUGAC
rnacentral:rRNA from 1 species